GCAAGAUUAAUUUUUGAGCUGGAAAAUGGGAAGAGAGUCCUUUAUGCUGCCACGGGCACGGUAUCAUGUCUAGGAUUUUGUGUCGAUUUUCGUUGAUGUUAUUUUUAACAUGCUGAUUGAAAUGUUUUUGGCAGAACGGAAUUUUAUUUACAGCGGCAGAGGACAGAAAUGUGAUGGCACGGGAUAAAGCCAGUGGGAAAAGCGUCAAUGGCAUAUAGCAUUGAAGAUGUUCGGAUGGGCUAAUAAGUUGAAGACGAGUCCAAUGGCGGUGGCUAAUAACAGAUCCAGGCUCACUUUUCUUGCAGAAUCAUCUAUCAAAUGUCAGUCUGAAUUUGUUUGUUAUGAUUUUAUCUCCGUAAUUCUAAUCUUAUUGUUAAAUUUGUCAGAUGGUAUAUAUUUAUGCAAUUAGGCUCCCAUGUUUAUUGAACGGACAACUAUUCAAUAGAAAACUGUAUAUGGGGUCAUUAGUGUGUACGUUCGUUGGGAUUAAUGUGAAUUAACAGGGUUGAAGAAUUGGGAUUAUGGAUCGCGAACGUGUAGUUUUAAUAUAAUUAACUUUUCCAGCUGAAGAAUUCCCCCAUGAGAAGUUAAGAAUUCCGAUUAAUGAGCUUAUGAUUCACCAAUAACCAUAUUUUGAACCAUGAGAGGCAAAAAAUUGUCAAAAUCAUGAGGUUACAGAAGUCUAAAUAUGAUAGAUUAAGCUUGUAAAUCGCCUGAAUAUGGAACAGUUGUUAUGCAGCAGAAGAAAAGAAAAAUAAUAUCCCAACAUGAUUAGUAAGUUUGAAUACCGAAAUAGUAUAUUUACAAUAUGAUCUUCCUCAUACUAAAACAUUUCAAGGAAGAUCUGUAGUUAUUUCUCAGCAAGUCUUAGGUCUGCAAUUGAAGUUGUACAGACUCCAGAAAAACCGAACCGGAAUUGAUGGACUAGUCAUAUAUCUGAACUUCCAUAGGAUUGUGGACAAGCCCUGAAUGUAGGACUUCAAUAACGUAAUACAGAUAAAGACCUUUGAACGUCGUGGAGAAAAUGCUUAGAGUUGGUUGUUUCAGAAGAUGAAGCUGAAACAGUACAACAUGAGGAUGUUGAUAAAUUCUUUGGAGACAGCAAUUUAGCAUCAUUUGUGCUGGAUUCCUUCUCCUCUUCAUGAAUUGUGUCCAACAUCUUUGAUGCUCUGUGCCUCAUAACAUUUACAAACUGUGGUGGCGCUGCUUCAGUUAUAAAUCUAGCGAUGCGGGCAUUUGCCAUUUUCUCUUCGAAAUAUUUGGAGAAUCAUAAGAUGGAAGAAUAGGUUAAAAGUGUGUUUGAAGAGAUUGCUGUCGACUUGUUGAAAUUUAUAGGAGUAUGCUUGGGCUGAAUUCCAAUAAUUGGAUGAGAUUAUAGUUCAGUGAUGAGGCUUAAAUUAAGUCAAUGGUCCCAAUCAAAUUCUUAAAUGAUUUUCAGACGUUUGUGCCGCCUCUUACUUAUCGUAUUUAUAGUGAAAACAAUGUUUGUUAUUCAUGUUGAUGAUAACCUCAUUGGUAUCACAUAGAUGUGUCCAAUAUUAGCUUCAUUACUGGGUUGAUGGAGUGCCAUGUGUCUGUAUGGAUAGGAAAUGCAUAUCCCACAAGAGAUAUGUUUUUAUGUUGGUAUCAAAGCUUCCCAAUUUUCACUUUCUGGAGUUUGACUGGAAGCUGCCUUUAAAUGCCAACUGUCAUUUGAUAAUCCAUGAAAUGGAUCUAUCAGGUAAUUGUUAGAUGGUGAAAAGUAAGUCCUUUUGGCUCACCAAAUAUAGUGAUUAUCAGCAGGCAAAAAAUUAAAAAAUGUAACAUGAUUUUCCUGAAGCCUGAAGCUGGGUUUGAAUCCUCACGAGGUUUCCUUGAAUAGAUUUUUAAUAUAAAUAUAUACGUGUGUGUAUGUGAUUGGAUGAGCAUAAUUAGGCACGGUUUGAUUCUUUUUCAAAAUAAAAAUAUCUAUCAUAUAUUGAUUUUCAUGCUGAAAAAACUAUGAUGCUCGAACUCGGGUACGAAUAUAUAUCUAAGUGUCGGAUCUUUUAUUUUUCAAAAUAUAAGAUACGGGAACAUUGCUAAAAAGAGUCUAAAUUUUAGACAAGGAUACGUGGGUAUGUCUUUCGAGUUUCAAUUUUUUUAUUAACCCAAGAUGUCAUUUUGAAUAAACUAAAAUCAAUUGUUUACAAAGAAAGAAAUUAUUAUUGAAUAAGGGGUUAAAACGAAUAAAAUAAAAUUUUGAGGUUUAGUUUUCAAUUAUGCGAAGUUAAUUACUAAAUAUUAUAUAAAAUAGAAAAUUGGGGACUUGGUUGUAAUUUGAACUUACUGGAGCACUAAAUAGUAUUAUAUGGAACCCAUUUUCAUUUUAUACACAUAAAACCUUAAACCACUGAUAUAGAGAGGGAAAGAAGGAAACAAGAAGAAAAAAGAAAAAAGAAGAAGAAAGGAAAACUUAGCAUUGUUGUUCUUCUCUAUCUUCUUAGAGGUGGUACUAAAUUUAGAGAGCAAAAGGAAAAGGAAAAGGAAAAGGAAAAGGAAAAAAAAAAAAAAAGAAUAAAGAAGUAAAAAUGGUGAAGUGUCCAGGUGAAACUUGGAGGAUCUAACACAUAUCUCAUACAUAUACCCAAGUCGUAUCAUAUCCGACACAGGUACUCCUACUAUUUCGAAGAGUCCGAGCAUCAGAGGAAAAAAAAUCAGUUUUUGCGCCCUUGUACCCUUGUUAUAUGCUGUAGAUAUCCAAAUUUGAAAGCCUGAAGUUUACCCAACCUGCUUUUCAAAUCUGAGAUUUCUAAAGUGAGCAUCGAGCGUCUGGAUUGGGAGUCCAAUUAUUAGUCCAGGUCGAAGCUUACUCCAAAUAUAAUAGGUGAACUCACAGUAAAAAAUAUAUAAUAAAUUAUUUCUGUGAAAUUAAGUAGGAGCCAAUUGUUUUAUAUCGCCAGAGGUUAUCUUUCAAUGAGAACAUCAUGUAAUAAAAGCCCAAGCUUGAUGUGCUCGGUUUUACUUGAUUUCUUCUUAAAGCUUGAACUUUAGGCUAAAACUCAUUCUAAGCUGGAUUUGAACUACUUAUACAAGCCCAAGCUUGAUGUCCUAAUGAUAUAGACCUAAACUACUCAUUUGAUACAUGAUCUAUUAGAUGCAAUCUAAGAAGCACUGAUACUCGUAAACUUGUUAUGUUCUCGCAUCCGAUAAGUAUUCAAGUUAUGACACUCUUCAAUGCUUUUCGAUACAUACCAAAUACUUAUUUUUUAAUUAUUUAUAUAUUUUUAUAUUUUUUGAAUUUUCGAUAUAUAUCCGAUACAUAUUUUUUAAUUAUUUAAUAUUUUUAUAUGAUUUUUGAUACAUAUUCGAUACUUCAUAACUUAUAUUUACCUUUACUGCAAAACAUUGCUUUGAAACAUCUUGUGAACCUUUUUUUCCAUCUAGUGCUAAAAAGAUAUUGGUGUACGCACUCUUUUGUGCAUUCUACGAGAAAAAUAAAAUAACUCUAAAACAAGCUAAAAAUUGGUUUUCAUUCAUCGUAAUUACCUCCUUUUAUCAAGAAAAAUUAGAUCUCUACUAAAAAAGGCGAGUCCAAAAUAUGGGACAUUGCCAGAAACUCGUUUGAUACUUCUAAAGGUAUUGGACUGUUUGAAUUUGCUAAUCUCUCAUUAGAUGAACUAGAGUUAGAGAGUGUUAUUUUUUAUGGUAAUUAAAAAAUUGAUAUUGUGAUAUUGAAGAAAAUGAAGUUUCAAUAAUUAAUGAUUAAGAUAAAGUGCUUGAGUAUUUUUUUAUUAUUAUUAUCAUGUUUUUGUAUUAAUGUUUUUUUUUAUAUUAUGUUGAAUUUUAUAAUACGUAUCAACGUAACCUAAUUUUUUUUAAAAAGUCAUAUCGUAUCUAAAUAACGUAUCCUUAUCCGUGCUUCUUAGGAUGCAAUUGAACUCUAUCCACGUCACGUGCAAUUUGUUCAUGAGUUUUAAAACGCUUUCUCUCUUUCAACUGUGACGACUGCAAGUUGAAAACUCUGAUUGAGAUGCAAAUAGGGAGGGUAGCAGCCAAGGAAUCAUAAUAUAGAUUUCCCUUUUUUCCCUCUGAUUUCUUUUGUUUUUACUGUCAGAACCGAGUGCUGGGGGAUUAGUUAGCAUUUGGGGAUGAAAAGAGCUGCAUAAAUUUGCAAUAGCCAAAUAGGAAAAGGAAACCUAUAAUUUGUGUUAAAUAUCACAAUUCAAUAUAAUACUUAUUGAAACUUUCUCAAGAAAUCUCCUACAUAAAUAACCUAAAACCCUAUAGAUCAUCAAUGUAAGUCAAACACAUGAAAGAUCAUUUCUAGACUAAACUCUUAGCUUGAGGAAAGAAUCAAAUCUCCUGGGCACAUGUUCAAAUCAUCCUUUGCAUCUGUCCUCCUCUCAUGAUACAUUUUCAAAGUUGAUCCCCACGAUGCCGUUUUCAUUUCUUGAAACGUAUUUACUUUAUUACACUGUACUUGGGAGAUGCACGUCCAUGGCAUAAAACUGAAUGUUUUGAGAGGUGAGAAACCCUUUUGAUGCCAGCUAGACGUGCCCAAAACUCCUUAUUUUUCUUCACAUCAUUACCGUAACAUAUCUGUUUAUCAACAGGUACGAGGUAAAAGAAAGCAACACGGGAAGCAAGUAGAUGACCUUUUUGUUAAAAGCAGCCACUUUGUCGGAACCUUCUUCAACAAUCGUCUCAAGUUUUGGGGCGUUGGAAGCUCUGUAAGGGGAAAUCAGAGGAGAAGGAGCAACCUCUACCCAAUUGUGCAUGUAACUCAUUUGCUUUCUCAUGACUGUCAAUGAAGGAGAGAGGUUUCUUGAACAGAAUGAUUGAUGAUUCAACAGAACUUUUGUUCAGAGCCAAGAGGAAUUUUGUUGGUAUGAAGAAGAAUUCUUGAAACAGCCUAUGUUUAAACUGGUUCUUGAGCUUAAGAAUAGGAAUAAUUUUAGGAGGAAAUCAAUGGCAAAAUAAA
rnacentral:lncRNA from 1 species